CACGGAGUUAGCCGAUGCUUAUUCGUACGGUACUCUCGUCGGUCCACACGUGGACCUUAUUGCUCCCGCACAAAAGAAGUUUAACGCCCAUAGGGCACUGACCUUCACGCGGCAUGGCUGGUUCAGCCUUCCGGCCAUUGACCAAUAUUCCUCACUGCCGCCUCCCGUAGGAGUCUGGACCGUGUCUCAGUUCCAGUGUGGGGGACCUUCCUCUCAGAACCCCUAGACAUCGUCGCCACGGUGGGCCGUUACCCCGCCGUCAAGCUAAUGUCACGCGAGCCUAUCCUCAUCCGACGGAUCUUUAGAUGGAACCAGAUGCCUGAUUCCAUCGCCAUGGGGCAUUAGACGCCGUUUCCAGCGAUUAUCCCCUGAUGAGGCAAGUUGCUCACGCGUUACGCACCCUUGCGCCGGUCGCCAUCAGAGAGUAUGCUACUCCCCAUGCUGCCCCUCGACUUGCAUGUGUAAGCCUGCCGCUAGCGUUCAU
rnacentral:rRNA from 1 species